rnacentral:rRNA from 1 species
UGGCAGUCAGAGGCGAUGAAGGACGUGCUAAUCUGCGAUAAGCGUCGGUAAGGUGAUAUGAACCGUUAUAACCGGCGAUUUCCGAAUGGGGAAACCCAGUGUGAUUCGUCACACUAUCAUUAACUGAAUCCAUAGGUUAAUGAGGCGAACCGGGGGAACUGAAACAUCUAAGUACCCCGAGGAAAAGAAAUCAACCGAGAUUCCCCCAGUAGCGGCGAGCGAACGGGGAGCAGCCCAGAGCCUGAAUCAGUGUGUGUGUUAGUGGAAGCGUCUGGAAAGGCGCGCGAUACAGGGUGACAGCCCCGUACACAAAAAUGCACAUGCUGUGAGCUCGAUGAGUAGGGCGGGACACGUGGUAUCCUGUCUGAAUAUGGGGGGACCAUCCUCCAAGGCUAAAUACUCCUGACUGACCGAUAGUGAACCAGUACCGUGAGGGAAAGGCGAAAAGAACCCCGGCGAGGGGAGUGAAAAAGAACCUGAAACCGUGUACGUACAAGCAGUGGGAGCACGCUUAGGCGUGUGACUGCGUACCUUUUGUAUAAUGGGUCAGCGACUUAUAUUCUGUAGCAAGGUUAACCGAAUAGGGGAGCCGAAGGGAAACCGAGUCUUAACUGGGCGUUAAGUUGCAGGGUAUAGACCCGAAACCCGGUGAUCUAGCCAUGGGCAGGUUGAAGGUUGGGUAACACUAACUGGAGGACCGAACCGACUAAUGUUGAAAAAUUAGCGGAUGACUUGUGGCUGGGGGUGAAAGGCCAAUCAAACCGGGAGAUAGCUGGUUCUCCCCGAAAGCUAUUUAGGUAGCGCCUCGUGAAUUCAUCUCCGGGGGUAGAGCACUGUUUCGGCAAGGGGGUCAUCCCGACUUACCAACCCGAUGCAAACUGCGAAUACCGGAGAAUGUUAUCACGGGAGACACACGGCGGGUGCUAACGUCCGUCGUGAAGAGGGAAACAACCCAGACCGCCAGCUAAGGUCCCAAAGUCAUGGUUAAGUGGGAAACGAUGUGGGAAGGCCCAGACAGCCAGGAUGUUGGCUUAGAAGCAGCCAUCAUUUAAAGAAAGCGUAAUAGCUCACUGGUCGAGUCGGCCUGCGCGGAAGAUGUAACGGGGCUAAACCAUGCACCGAAGCUGCGGCAGCGACGCUGAUGCGUUGUUGGGUAGGGGAGCGUUCUGUAAGCCUGUGAAGGUGUGCUGUGAGGCAUGCUGGAGGUAUCAGAAGUGCGAAUGCUGACAUAAGUAACGAUAAAGCGGGUGAAAAGCCCGCUCGCCGGAAGACCAAGGGUUCCUGUCCAACGUUAAUCGGGGCAGGGUGAGUCGACCCCUAAGGCGAGGCCGAAAGGCGUAGUCGAUGGGAAACAGGUUAAUAUUCCUGUACUUGGUGUUACUGCGAAGGGGGGACGGAGAAGGCUAUGUUGGCCGGGCGACGGUUGUCCCGGUUUAAGCGUGUAGGCUGGUUUUCCAGGCAAAUCCGGAAAAUCAAGGCUGAGGCGUGAUGACGAGGCACUACGGUGCUGAAGCAACAAAUGCCCUGCUUCCAGGAAAAGCCUCUAAGCAUCAGGUAACAUCAAAUCGUACCCCAAACCGACACAGGUGGUCAGGUAGAGAAUACCAAGGCGCUUGAGAGAACUCGGGUGAAGGAACUAGGCAAAAUGGUGCCGUAACUUCGGGAGAAGGCACGCUGAUAUGUAGGUGAAGCGACUUGCUCGUGGAGCUGAAAUCAGUCGAAGAUACCAGCUGGCUGCAACUGUUUAUUAAAAACACAGCACUGUGCAAACACGAAAGUGGACGUAUACGGUGUGACGCCUGCCCGGUGCCGGAAGGUUAAUUGAUGGGGUCAGCGCAAGCGAAGCUCUUGAUCGAAGCCCCGGUAAACGGCGGCCGUAACUAUAACGGUCCUAAGGUAGCGAAAUUCCUUGUCGGGUAAGUUCCGACCUGCACGAAUGGCGUAAUGAUGGCCAGGCUGUCUCCACCCGAGACUCAGUGAAAUUGAACUCGCUGUGAAGAUGCAGUGUACCCGCGGCAAGACGGAAAGACCCCGUGAACCUUUACUAUAGCUUGACACUGAACAUUGAGCCUUGAUGUGUAGGAUAGGUGGGAGGCUUUGAAGUGUGGACGCCAGUCUGCAUGGAGCCGGCCUUGAAAUACCACCCUUUAAUGUUUGAUGUUCUAACGUUGACCCGUGAUCCGGGUUGCGGACAGUGUCUGGUGGGUAGUUUGACUGGGGCGGUCUCCUCCUAAAGAGUAACGGAGGAGCACGAAGGUUGGCUAAUCCUGGUCGGACAUCAGGAGGUUAGUGCAAUGGCAUAAGCCAGCUUGACUGCGAGCGUGACGGCGCGAGCAGGUGCGAAAGCAGGUCAUAGUGAUCCGGUGGUUCUGAAUGGAAGGGCCAUCGCUCAACGGAUAAAAGGUACUCCGGGGAUAACAGGCUGAUACCGCCCAAGAGUUCAUAUCGACGGCGGUGUUUGGCACCUCGAUGUCGGCUCAUCACAUCCUGGGGCUGAAGUAGGUCCCAAGGGUAUGGCUGUUCGCCAUUUAAAGUGGUACGCGAGCUGGGUUUAGAACGUCGUGAGACAGUUCGGUCCCUAUCUGCCGUGGGCGCUGGAGAACUGAGGGGGGCUGCUCCUAGUACGAGAGGACCGGAGUGGACGCAUCACUGGUGUUCGGGUUGUCAUGCCAAUGGCACUGCCCGGUAGCUAAAUGCGGAAGAGAUAAGUGCUGAAAGCAUCUAAGCACGAAACUUGCCCCGAGAUGAGUUCUCCCUGACUCCUUGAGAGUCCUGAAGGAACGUUGAAGACGACGACGUUGAUAGGCCGGGUGUGUAAGCGCAGCGAUGCGUUGAGCUAACCGGUACUAAUGAACCGUGAGGCUUAACCUUACAACGCCGAAG